rnacentral:lncRNA from 1 species
UUUUGUUUUGAGGUAACACUCAUACACACAUUUUACAAAGGCAAAAGGAGCUUGAUAACAAUGAAGCAUAGAUUAGAUUCCUAUCUUGUCUAGCACCCUGCACCGAAGCUUCUAAACCUGCACAUUAGUAUCAUAUUUUAAAUUUCCAUUUCCCGGUUAACCAAGUAAAUCUAGGCUUUUAGCAUAGUAGCUUCUACUAUCCGUUGAGACAGGCACAAUUUUUUAAUUUUAUUUUAUGUCCAGUUUUAUAGCUGAUUAUUCAAUUAUUCAAUUGUUAGCUCGAAUAAUUAAAUCGCGCAAAGUAGGGGAGCCUAAGACAAUCACAUGGAAGUUUAAAACAUUUCUCAAACAUUAUCGACCUUAAACCAAUUGAUUACUCAUCCCAAUAUUUAUAUCUUGCUUUAUAAAGCAAAUUUUAAUUAGUCAUCAAAAACUAGGAAAUAAAUAUUCAUUGUAUUGUUAUGGGACUCAUUAAACUACAAUAUUUUAAUUUAAAAUUGCUCUCGCUUUUUCAACAUCAAUCCCUAAAUAUAAGAUGUAUUUUAAGUAGUUAGAAAUACUUUUUUAUUUAGAAAAAUAAUUAUUGUAAAUAAAUACUACCGCCUUUCAAACAGAUUACUUUAGAAAAAAAUUUAAAUAUACAAUUUUAUAAGUAUUUUUGGUGGAGUUCUUCAACUAGAGUUAAAAAAAUUUCCUGAUAAUUUAUAUUGACUUUUAAUGUAAUUUAUUACUGCACGUAUUAUAAUAAUGUGAAUCUUCAAUUUUUUUCCACCAAAAAUAUAUAAAUAGUUAAACAAUUAAUCUAAAUUUUGUCUUUUACUAGUACUUCAAUACUAUAUAUAAAAAAAGUUGUCUUUUACUUUCUCAGCCAGCCUUAGUAAAUCCGUUUUAUUUUUUUUCUUUUCCUCUUUAAUUUAUCCCCUAUCAUCAGACACACCGCAGGUUUUAACCUGUCUAAGGAGUUAGGGGGGAAUCAAUCCGGAAUGCAAACUUUAAGACGAUAGAUAAUCAAUGUUUGUUGAGUAAUUUAGUGAGAUAAUGACCAUACAGUGAUACCCUCAUUUUCCGAGAAAUUUAAUUUCCAUGAGAAGUGUGACCAAACACCAAAAUUUACGGAACUUGGUGUUUCUGGGCUGUAGGCUGUAGCUCAUUAAAUGCACCUCAGAGAGAAAGAGAGAGCUGAGACCAAUUCAUCAUCCCAGGUUGGUCUUUUUGUGAUUUCGGAAAACGCGAAGCAGGCCUUCAGUCAUUUGGCACUGGGUGUUCAAAUAUGUGUUAAUGGAAGAAAAAAACAAUUUAACUAAAAAUAGCAUACUUAAAAGCCUACAAUAUUAAAAUCUUAUUAUUCAGUAUGCUGAUAUUUUUUAAAUAUUAAAAUUAAUAAUAGAAAUAUUUUUUUAAAUAAAUUAAAAAUUACGACAAAAAUGCAUAUAAUAAAUUUUAAUUAUUAUAUACAUUUUUAUCAUAAUUUUAGCUAGUCUUCAUGGCUUAUGCCUGUUGCAAAUCUUUGCUUCCUCCGUUGACAAUACCUUUGGGUGGCGAAUUUUCGUAUACAAGACCUCCAAGGAGAGGUGUUCUGUGGAAGCUCCAGUGAGCAAUGGCGAUAGCAAUUCACCCUUCUCAGCGGUUUCUCCUCUCCGUUUCUAUAACCCUAACCCUCGUCCAUCGUGGCGCCUCAAAUUCCAAAAUCGUUUGCCAUUCUGAGCUUUUGCAGGAUCUGAGCUUCCCAUGCAUAGAGCAACAAAGAAGACGACGUGUUGAUGGGAAAGAGAAAUGGUUAGGUUUUUUUUUUUUUUUUUUUUUUCUGGUUUUUUAAUUAAAUAAAAAUGCAUGUUUAUCCAUUGUUUUGGACAGAUGUUGAAUAAAGAGAAAAUGAUUUUUCGGUAUAAGUUAAAAGGUGUUGAAUGCUAAUAUAAAAUGAUUUGAAGGGAACUUUAAAAUGAUUUUUAAGAUAUUAAAAUAAUUCGUUAAAUUAAAAAGUAUCUUUAAUUCUUUUUUUAAAAAAUGAUUAUUAAAGUAUUAUAAAUACUUUUAUUUAAUAUUUCUUUUUAGUCAAUGAUAAAAUUAAUGUGUUUAUUUUUCUGUUAAAAUAUUAUUAAUCAUAAGUAACAUUUUAUUAUUUUUAAUUUAAAAUAUUUCUUUCUGUUAAAAGAACAUAUACUAAUGUUUUUAUAUUAGUAUAUAUAUAAAUAAUACAUAUUUGGGAAAGAAUUAAAUCUACCUGUAUAAUUAAAUAUACCAUGCCAAAAAAAAAAACAAUUCUAUAUUAUUCUUAAGUAAAUUUACUAACUUCUUUACUGUCAAUCUUCUCAAUUUUUUUUACAAAUAAUACACUUCCCACAAAAUUUAGAUUAUACAUUCAUUUACACAAAAAAAAACUUUGGUGGAAAGUCAUAGCAUUUUCAAGUUUAUCUUCUUUACAUUUUUAGAAAGAAAAAAAAACAAACAUUUCAAUUGUUUCUAGCAACAUCCAUUAUUUUAUUUUAAAGUAAACUCAAAGUUUUUAAGCUUAUAAAUUGUUAAAAUAGCUCUAAAUUAGGAGAAAUAUGAAAAAGUUUGACAUGUUCAAUGGGAGACUCAUUCACUCCUAAUACUAUUAUAGUUCAUUUAAUACUUACUAUAGUUUUUUUAAAUAUCAAAAAAUUAAAAAUUGAUUUAUAAAAAUAUUAUUUAAGAAUUUAUUUUUCAUAUAUUAUUAAUUUAAAAAAAAGUUAUGUUGUCAAUCACUCAAAAAACAUCUUAAGUAUCACUUUUACAACAUGAAAGGUAAUAAAGUGGUCUAAAUCCUAGUGACAAUGAAAAUCAAAUGAUGAUAAAUGCUAUUGAUGGAAGGAGGUCCUAUGGGAAAAGAAGAGGAAAUUUCAACAAUUAAGAUAUGUACUUACAGUGGAAAAAGUUGUCCAUGUUGUAGAAACCUGCUAUUGCAACUACCUCACAACACAAAAAUAUACUCUUACUACACUUUCCUGCCUUGAACUUUUAUGGAUGUCCCCG